rnacentral:rRNA from 1 species
GACGAACGCUGGCGGCGUGCUUAACACAUGCAAGUCGAACGGUGAAGCGCCUUCCUUUUUGGUGGGUGUGGAUGAGUGGCGAACGGGUGAGUAACACGUGAGUAACCUGCCCCCUUCUUCUGGAUAACCGCAUGAAAGUGUGGCUAAUACGGGAUAUUCUGGGUCUGUCGCAUGAUGGGUCUGGGAAAGAUAUUGUUUCGGUGGGGGAUGGGCUCGCGGCCUAUCAGCUUGUUGGUGGGGUGAUGGCCUACCAAGGCGGUGACGGGUAGCCGACCUGAGAGGGUGGACGGUCACACUGGGACUGAGACACGGCCCAGACUCCUACGGGAGGCAGCAGUGGGGAAUAUUGCACAAUGGGCGCAAGCCUGAUGCAGCGACGCCGCGUGAGGGAUGGAGGCCUGCGGGUUGUGAACCUCUUUCGCCAGUGAAGCAGGCCUGCCUCGUUUGUGGGUGGGUUGACGGUAGCUGGAUAAGAAGCGCCGGCUAACUACGUG